GUCCUAACAAUCCCAACCUCCAUCCAGGCAACCAGGUCCUUUCAUGUCAGUAAUGUGCUGUAGUCUCUAUGGACUUCAAAACAGCCCAAUCUCCUAAAGGGGAGCCAGCAGGAGCCAUUACAUCGUGGAAUGCAUGCCUGCCAAGACAAAGCGCGCUGCCCAGCAGCUCCCACCUCUGUGUACUCCCAGGAUCAGUGCUUUGACUUCUGUUUCAUACCUCAGCCCCUAAUCAAACUGUAUCUAAGCUGAAUACCAGCACAACUCCAUCUGUUAAAUUUAGAGGUGAAAUAGGAAGGCUCUCAUGCAGUCACCAAACUCACAUGACACCAAGUUUGUCUCACCUGGACAACACAGAGAGAUUUUCAGUGACAUCGGUGUGCUUUGGAUGAACACACAGAAAAUAAUACUUUGGAGGGCCAGGAGCCUCUGCUUCAAAACCUGCUCAACAGCUUCAGCUUCAGAAUGGGUCACAGACAGCAACUCAAGUUUCUCAUCUGUGGCUUAUCAUUUCUCCGAGUAUGUGACAGAGAUGAACUCUUCACUAAGAAGGGAUGCAGCAUUUACCAAGAGCAGGCCUGCCUACAAUUGGACCCGGUAACUCCGGAGCCCUCCAGCGCUGUCACCAUCAUCUGCCAUGGGGACGCAGUGGUGUACUCUGUGCUACUACUGGAGGGGACCGUGUGUGAUAUCAGUGUGGAACAGCCGUGAUGCGGUGUCAUCGUCAUUGGGUGUUGCUUCUGUCAACCGGCAUCGGGUGUCACCGUCACGUGGAGGGGAUAGAAGGACCCCCCGGGGCCCUGGGGACGUUGCGCCGAAGUUGGG